rnacentral:rRNA from 1 species
UACGUAGGCAGCGAGCGUUGUUCGGAGUUACUGGGCGUAAAGAGUGCGUAGGCGGUGCUCCAAGUCUGGUGUGAAAUCUCCCGGCUUAACCGGGAGGGUGCGCCGGAAACUGGGGUGCUGGAGUGUGGGAGAGGUAAGCGGAAUUCCCGGUGUAGUGGUGAAAUGCGUAGAGAUCGGGAGGAACACCUGUGGCGAAGGCGGCUCGCUGGGCCGGUCCUGACGCUGAGACGCGAAGGCGUGGGGAGCGAACGGG